rnacentral:rRNA from 1 species
GGCGAACGCUGGUGGCGUGCUUAACACAUGCAAGUCGAACGGAAAGGCCCUGCUUUUGUGGGGUGCUCGAGUGGCGAACGGGUGAGUAACACGUGAGUAACCUGCCCUUGACUUUGGGAUAACUUCAGGAAACUGGGGCUAAUACCGGAUAGGAGCUCCUGCUGCAUGGUGGGGGUUGGAAAGUUUCGGCGGUUGGGGAUGGACUCGCGGCUUAUCAGCUUGUUGGUGGGGUAGUGGCUUACCAAGGCUUUGACGGGUAGCCGGCCUGAGAGGGUGACCGGCCACAUUGGGACUGAGAUACGGCCCAGACUCCUACGGGAGGCAGCAGUGGGGAAUAUUGCACAAUGGGCGGAAGCCUGAUGCAGCAACGCCGCGUGCGGGAUGACGGCCUUCGGGUUGUAAACCGCUUUCGCCUGUGACGAAGCGUGAGUGACGGUAAUGGGUAAAGAAGCACCGGCUAACUACGUG